UGGGGGAUAUUGCACAAUGGGCGAAAGCCUGAUGCAGCGACGCCGCGUGGGGGAUGAAGGCUUUCGGGUUGUAAACCUCUUUCGCUAUCGAACAAGGCCCGCUUAGGGUGGGUUGAGGGUAGGUGGAGAAGAAGCGCCGGCUAACUGCGUGCCAGCAGCCGCGGUAAUACGUAGGGCGCGAGCGUUGUCCGGCAUUAUUGGGCGUAAAGGGCUUGUAGGCGGCUUGUUGCGCCUGCUGUGAAAACGCGGGGCUUAACUUCGCGCGUGCAGUGGGUACGGGCAGCCUUGAGUGUGGUAGGGGUGACUGGAAUUCCAGGUGUAGCGGUGGAAUGCGCAGAUAUCUGGAGGAACACCGAUGGCGAAGGCAGGUCACUGGGCCAUUACUGACGCUGAGGAGCGAAAGCAUGGGUAGCGAACAGG
rnacentral:rRNA from 1 species